UGACGGGUAGCCGGCCUGAGAGGGUGACCGGCCACAUUGGGACUGAGAUACGGCCCAGACUCCUACGGGAGGCAGCAGUGAGGAAUCUUGCGCAAUGGGCGAAAGCCUGACGCAGCCACGCCGCGUGCCGGAAGACGGCCCUAUGGGUUGUAAACGGCUUUUGCCAGGGAAGAAAGCCUGGGGUUCGCCCUAGAUUGACGGUACCUGGUGAAUAAGCACCGGCUAACUCCGUGCCAGCAGCCGCGGUAAUACGGAGG
rnacentral:rRNA from 1 species